GGGAAGGUGGCUCAGUGGUAGAGCACUUGCCUUGCAUGCAUGAGGCCCUGGGUUCAAUUCCUCAGCACCCCA
rfam:Dipodomys ordii contig_43253, whole genome shotgun sequence.